rnacentral:rRNA from 1 species
UUUUAAAAGUUAUUAAGGGCGUAUGGCGGAUGCCUAGGCUCUCAUAGGCGAAGAAGGACGUGACAAGCUGCGAUAAGUUUCGAUAAGGUGCAAAUAACCUUUGAGUCGAAAAUUUCCGAAUGGGGCAACCCAAUUAUUUGAAGAAUAAUUAUCCUAUUUAUAGGAAGCUAACCUGGUGAACUGAAACAUCUAAGUAACCAGAGGAAGAGAAAACAAUAGUGAUUCCCUGAGUAGUGGCGAACGAAAAGGGAACAGCCCAAACCAAGAUUAUUUCGGUAAUUUUGGGGUUGUAGGACUACAACGUGCAAUAUAAAUUUAUAAAAGAAUGUUUUGGAAAGAACAACCAUAGAGGGUGAUAGUCCCGUAUUUGAAAUAGAUUUAUUAGCUAGUAGUAUCCUGAGUAGGACGGAACACGUGAAAUUCUGUCUGAAUCCACCGGGACCAUCCGGUAAGGCUAAAUACUAAUGAGAGACCGAUAGUGAACAAGUACCGUGAGGGAAAGGUGAAAAGUACUCCGAACAGGAGAGUGAAAUAGAUCCUGAAACCAUACGCCUACAAGCGGUAGGAGCCAUUUUUAUGGUGACUGCGUGCCUUUUGUAUAAUGAACCUACGAGUUACUCCUCUCUAGCAAGGGUAAGAAUUUUUGAUUCGAAUCCGUAGCGAAAGCAAGUCUGAAUAGGGCGCUUAGUUAGAGGGGGUAGACGCGAAACCAAGUGAUCUACCCAUGGACAGGUUGAAACUCCGUUAACCCGGAGUGGAGGACCGAACCAAUAUACGUUGAAAAGUGUUUGGAUGAUCUGUGGGUAGGGGUGAAAGGCUAAUCAAACUUGGAAAUAGCUCGUACUCUCCGAAAUGCAUUUAGGUGCAGCCUCGAUAUUAUUGUCAUAGAGGUAGAGCUACUGAUUGGAUGCGGGGGCUUCAUCG